GGGGGCCCGCAAGCGGUGGAGCAUGUGGUUCAAUUCGACGCAACGCGAAGAACCUUACCUGGGCUCGAAAUGCAGUGGACCGGGGUAGAAAUAUCCCUUCCCCUUAAAAGGCUGCUGCAUAGGUGCUGCAUGGCUGUCGUCAGCUCGUGUCGUGAGAUGUUGGGUUAAGUCCCGCAACGAGCGCAACCCUUAUCCCUAGUUGCCAUCGGGUCAAGCCGGGCACUCUAGUGAAACCGCCCCGGAUAACGGGGAGGAAGGUGGGGAUGACGUCAAGUCCUCAUGGCCUUUAUGUCCAGGGCUACACACGUGCUACAAUGGUCGGUACAAACCGUCGCAAACCCGCGAGGGGGAGCUAAUCGGAAAAAGCCGGCCUCAGUCCGGAUUGGAGUCUGCAACUCGACUCCAUGAAGCUGGAAUCGCUAGUAAUCGCGGAUCAGAACGCCGCGGUGAAUACGUUCCCGGGCCUUGUACACACC
rnacentral:rRNA from 1 species